GGUUAUGGUUAAACUAUCAGUUACAUAAUUAUUUUAUUUGUGUAUGUAAUUUUCUAGAAUUUGAAGCUAUUUGCUGGUGACAGAAAAACAUAUGCUAAUUAUUAUUAGGAAUUCUAAACUUUUAAAAUGUUUCUGUGCAUUCCUAUUUUAUCAGUCUUUCUCUGAUGAUUAUUGAUGUUAUUUUGGUAUGCUACUAAUACUUUUUUUUCUUUUUCUAAAACUUGAGUUAUCGUCUACUGCUCUCCCAGGAGCAUUAGCAAGGAGCUGGCUUGAAGUAGAGCAGCCAAGCAGCCUGUGUGCUUCUGGGAUGCUGGCAUUGCAGCUUUGACUGACUGCUGGUAGAUUGUCACUAACACAAUUGGACAAAAAAUUUCCAAAAUUGUCUAGAAAUGGUACCUCAUCAAUCCUUAUUAAACAAGCCUGCGCUGAUUUGCCAUGGAUAUCAGUUAUCAAAAUCCACAUGAAAGUCUGAGUGAAGUACAUAUAUGUCUGGUAUGUAAUCAUAUAGCAAAUUGCUCUUUUUAUUAUCAAUACUACUUACACAACUAAUGCUAUCAGUGUUAAUUAUACUUUUUUAAGAUUUAUUUUUAUUUAUUUGAAAGACAGAGUUAAAGAGAGAGGUAGAGACUGAGAAAGUGAGGUCUUCCACCCACUGGUUCAAUCCCCAGAUGGCCACAAUGGCCGGAGCUGCACUGAACCAAAGCCAGGAGCCAGGAGUUUCUUCCAGGUCUCCCACGUGGGUGCAGGGGCCCAAGGACUUGGGCCAUCCUCCACUGCGCUCCCAGGCCAUAGCAGAGAGCUGAAUUGGAAGAGGAGCAGCUGGGACUAGAACCAGUGCCCUUAUGGGAUGCUGGCGCUUCAGGCCAAGUCUUUAACCCACUGUGCCACAGUGCUGACCCUGUUAAUUAUACAUUAAUACUAAGAAGAAUAUCAUCAAUUAUCACUAAUAAGAUCUAUUGGUGUUUAUUUUUCAAAUACAUGUUGGUAUAUAUUCUACUUAUUGAUAAAUUCAUGUGUUUUUCUAGAAUAUUAUCUGUAAUUAUGCCAGUAGAGAUUAUUUACAGAGUAAAUGUUCAAGCCAUUGCAAACAUGGUGGGGGAGAGUAAAUGGCUGCAGAUAACAAACUUUCUCAAUUUUGUACAUUCAAGAUUUUAAAUUAUAAUUCAUAAUUACUUUAACUUGGCAUUGUUGUGGCAUGGAAACAGUGAGGGCAACCACCCUUGCCUUUUUAAUAAUCUCAAGAUUCAAAAGGUUCAAAAGUAAGUCUUAUGUUAGUAAUAGGUUUUUAUUGAUGCCUUUUAUUGAUUUGAGGAUAUAUUUUGCUAUGCUUAAUUUUCUGCUACUGUUUUUUUAGAUAUGGGUGUGACAUUUACUUAGGUAUAUCUCUUCAUUUAUUGAAAUGAUUUUUUUUUCCAUUUCAGUCUGUUAAUAUGAGAAAUCAGCAGGCCCAGCUAGGGUUCCCCAUCUUUGCACUUGAGCCUGUGUAGUCUCCCUCUGAAGAGUGGGCCUGGAUUUUCUCAUUUUUAACCCAUCUAUGGAUGGCUUUCUUGACUUGAUCUUUGUACAAUGUCUAAAAAAAGACCUUUUUCUUCUGUAUGUUUCUUCCAGGUUUUAUGUUAUUUUAGAUAGCAUAUGUAGUUGGUCCUUGUUCCUCUAUCUAAUCUAGGAGUAGUAAUGUCUACUUAACAAAUGGAAGUUCCUGGAAAACCUGAGACAUGUACAGGCUAAAAUUUUGUGUAGUGUCUCACAGAAAGUUAUUUUUAUAAAAAAAGAAUAUAUUGGUGUAUUCAUUAUUGAUAAAAUGACUAGUAAUUAAUUUAACCUGUAAAAUAAGGUAAACAAUUUAUAGUGAAAUGUAUAACAAUCUCUCACUGUAAGGUAACUGGUAUGUCUGUGGUUUUAUUUUAAAUAUAUUUACUUCAGCAUACGAGGCUUCCAAAAGAUAAUGGAAAAUGUCCAUUAUCUUUUAUUGCAUUUUCCAUGAAUUUUUUGAAGCCUUCUCUUAUUUGAUAUUCCUAGACAAGCAUGUAGACCUUUGUCCAGGAUGUAGUAACUAUGGUUUUGUGCUUUUUUUGUGAGUAUUGAAACUCAUGUCCAUUAUUUUACUGCUUGUAUAUUCUCCAGAAUCCUCUGUGAAUGCAUAUCUGUGAUUAGAUGCAUGAAUGUGUGCAUGUUCAUGUGCCUAUCCAUACACCCAUAUACAGUGAUUGCAUCACAGGUUACUUGGUUGCAAAUAAUAUAGUCUCCUGAUUUUAUCCCCAUUAUUAGAAUUUACUUAAUGCUUUAUCUUAAGGCAUACUCCCUUGAACUUGUUUUAACUGUCUUAAACAUCAUACUCGAUUACUGAUUGCAUUAUAGAAUGGCCAUUUAACUCAUUUCUACUGUGAAUGCUCUUUAUCUGUCAUGUUUGUUUGAGAAUAUGGUAGGUUGGUCUCUACAGGAUAGAAAUGCAUGCAUGUAUUAAUUCAAGAUGUCAAAUAAUAAAACAUUAGUUUGGAACUACUAGAGCCACUUUGCUUCUACUUGAUGUGAUUGGGCCUUGGAAAUCACCAGUUCGGAGUAAUAUUGGAGAACAUCAAUCUCUAAACAUGAGGAACAACAUCAUAAUCAAGCACUAUGGGUACUGAUGACAUGAUGAUUUUUCUAGAGUUCAAGCACUAAAGAAACAACAGAUUCUCAUGAUCCAGUGAGGGAAACAGAAACAUUGAUAUUAGUGCAGAUAUAUUCUGGAAGACAUUCAGAGGCAUACAAGACCUCCAAAGCCUUGUGGGAGAAUGAAAGGUGAAUCCUGAUGUUCUGACUCUGAGAAAAGUUUUAGAAUAGAUGCCUUUAAAGGCUGAAGCUGGUUCAAGGCCAAAGCAGUGAGCCAAAAACCCAGCUUAGGUCUUUCACAUAGGUGGCAAGAAUUCAGUCUCGUGAGUCAUUAUUGCUGCAUCUCCGGGUCUGCAAUAACAGAAACUUGAAAUCAGGAGCUGGAGCCAGGAAUUAAAUCAAGAAAGAUUUAUAUUUAUUCUGCAGUUUGGACCAUAUCAUCCUGAGUUAAAGGACUUUGCUUCUGCAAAAUAAUUUGCUGCCACUGUCUCCUCCGGAUUUUCUACCAUCAGGAAACUUUUUUUAUACAUAAAAAAGUAAUUUAAUAUUUGGUAUUCAUUCUGAGAAGAAAUUUUUGAAAAAUACUUAUUUCUUGGUAUUCAGAUUCCAAAAAUAUCUUCAUUUUUCCUCGCUGAGUCUCAUGACACAUCCGUGCCAAUGAAUAUGUAAAAGAUUGAGAGUCAUGUGUGUGUAGUGGGGGUAUGAGGACAUCUACAUAAAUGUUCCAAGUAUAUUGCUGUUGUGCUAGAAAAGAUGAAGCUACUUCCUAAAGAAGAGGAGGAAAUGGGACAAAACUAUUUCUUCCUGGUUCUUCACAGUCAUCCAGAUGAACAGAGCAGGUGAGAGGAUCAUAACUGAGAGAUGGAUUUAAAUUAAAGGACAGUUGAGCAGACAUUUUCUAGGACUUAAGAAUACAUAAAUUCAGAAUUCAAGCAUUGGACUUUGCUGGUGGGAGGGUUGAUAGCCUCAGAGGUUGGUGGUGGGAGAUGAGGCAGAUAUUCCAUAUUCAAUCAUUCUAUAUGCAGUGACUGAAUCACAAAGGGGGCAUUCUCUUGGAUUACUGGAAACUGCCAGCUCUCUGGGUAGACGACAGCCUACAAAGUACAAUGUUUGUGGUGGCCUCCACACCCAAAGUAGUGGGAAGAGAAGUAUAGGCAUCUUGAGCUGCCUAACCUGAACUCAGGAGAGCUUCAGCAGCCAGCUGGGUCUCAGGCAUCAUCACAGUGAUUUCAUUGAUCCAUUCAGAACAAGGUGAACACAUACAGGUUACUGACAAUAAAUCAAGGAGAUAAGGGUGCUUCUUCAUAGAACAAAGCAAGCUUGUUCCUCUUGAUUCUGACAAUCACCAGGUAAUGAAGGAGCAGGUGAGAGAAUCCUCACUGAGGGAGAAAUGUAGGUUGCAUAGAGUAGUAAACAGCCUCCAGCCAGAUUCUCAGGUGCCAGGCAUCUGUUGUAAUGGGAAUAUGAUGUCAAUUGUUGGGGAUAAUGGAGGCUAAUGGAGCAGAACUUCUAAAUGCAGUAGGCUAUAUAAGUGCUGUGUUCAGACAGGUGUGGAUCACUUAGAGUAAAAGGGGACCAGUGCCUCUUGGUACCAAGCAUACCAUCAGUGCUGACCUCCAGACCCAGUGUUCACUGACAUGAGCAGCCAAUACCUCUCUGGGUAGAGUAAGGCUCACUAGGUACACCAGGUGUCAGGACUUUCAGACGGGUGAUGGCAGCACAGCUGCAGGAACAUUAAAAUGUCAUCAGAUAGAGUAUCCAGUAAGGCCUUGACAGCCACCUGGACCUCAGAUAUUGCCAGGAUGAUUCCAGUGGGUCAUUCCUAAUUCACUGAAUGCAUGUCAGAUAGAAGAGAUUCAGGAUAUAUUAAAAUGUUACUGGAGAAACAGAAUAAAACAAGUUUAUUGUGGUGCAAACAUUUUUGAAAUCCAUACUUUUAUUUUCAUAAUAUGCGUUUUUAUGAAGUUUUUGCAGACCCUUCAAAAUUUCUAAUAGAAUAGAACACAGGAACAAAGUAAAUCACCCUUGGUACUGACAAUCAUCAAAGUAAAGAAAGAGCAGGUGAGAAGCUCUUCACUGAGGUAGAAAUGCAAGUUGGAAGGGCCAGGACUCCCCUAGGAGGUAGGAAUAAAGAAGUUCAGGGUUCAGUCAUUCAUCUGUAAUGCGUGGAAUGUUGAAGGUUGUAAGGGAUGGUGGGGCCUGAUGGGACAGCAUCUCCACAUUUAUACAGCAUGCAGUGCCCUACUCAGGGAGGCACCAGUGUGUGAAUCUAGCUACUUCUAGUACCACUUUGGAGAAAGUAAGGCUCACCAAGUAAACCAGCUGUGGUGACCUCCAUGCUGGUGAUGGGGGCGGAGCUGCUGACACUUCGAACUUCAGAAACCUGAGGUACCUUCUGUGUACCAAAGAAGGCCUUAGCGGCUACCUGAAUCUACAGUGUUGUCAGGAUAAUUUCUGUGGUUCCUAAUACCUUGAAGUCAUGUCAGUUAGAGAUAAACAGAGAAGAUCGGGAUACAGGGUUCAUUAAAAAUGCCCUGGAGAAAUGGAAUUAAAACAGAAGGUUAUUGUGGUGCAAAAAAUUUUUGAAAUCCGUACUUUUCAUGUGAAACAUUUUCCAUGAGCUUUUUUCAGACCCUUCAAACAUUGUAAUAUGGUAGAAAAAAGGAACAAAGUAAAUCCCCAUUGGUCCUGACAAUCAUCAGAGUAAACAAAGAGCUGGUGGAAAUGCAGGUAAAAAUGUAAGUUAGAAAGUCAUGGGAUUGGAAUCUCGUACGUGGUCGGAAUAAGGAAAUCAGGUCUCAAGGCAUUAGGCUGUAAUGCUUGGAGUGAUGAAGGCUGUGGGGGAAUGGUGGAUCCUGAUGAGCCUGCAGAUUGGCAUGCAGGUUGUGUGCAGUGCCCUGCUUAGAGAGACACUGGUGGCUGAGAGUAAGGACAUCCUGUACCUCUGUGUAGAAUAAGGUUCACAGAGUACACUAUCUCUGGUGACAUCCAGACCAGUGAUGGGACAGACCUGCUGACUCUUUGAACUGUCAGUAUCUUGAACUACAAUCUUUGUACUCAGUAAGUCCUUGACAGCCACCUGGACAACAGAUAUUGCCAGGAUGAUUUCAGUUAUUUGAUCCUGAUACCUUGAAUACAUACCAGUUAGAUAAGCAUAGAGGAGAUAGGGAUACAGGGUAUGUUAAGAAGUUACUGGAGAAAUGGAAUUAAAGCACAAAGUAUUGUGCAAAAAAUGUUUGAAACCAUACUUUUCAUGAUGCUCUUAUUCCAUGAGUUUCAAUGUGUGGAAUGAUGAAAGCUGUAGGAGAUGGUGGAGCUUCAUAGGAAGCGCUUCCACAUUAAUGAUUUGUGCUGUCCCACUCACGGAGGCACUGGUGACUUCACUGUCCAGCACCUCUCUGGGUAGAGUAGGCUCACCAAUUAUGCUAUGCCUGGUGACCUCCGGACUGGUGCUGCAGUGCUGCUGCGGAAUUUUCAGCUGCCUUCCUUGUAAUCACUAAGUCCUUCGUGGCCACCUGGAGCUCGUAUUGUGGAUUGCUCCUAAUACCUUAAACACUUAAUAGUUAGAGAUAAUGUUACAUAAGAUAGGGGAUACCUAAUGGGACAGCACCUUGACAUUUGUGUUCUGUGCAGUGCCAUUCUCAGGCACUGGUGACUGUCACUAUUAUCAGGCAGUAUCUUUCUGCAUAGAGUAAGAUUGCGGUGCAAACGUUUUUCAACUCUGUAUUUUUCAUGAAAUGCACUUUUUCUGAACUUUUUGUAGAACUUUCAAACUUUCUAAUCAAAUAGAAAAGAGAAAUAAAGGAAGUCUUCCUUGGUCCUGACAGUCAUCAAGGGAAUCAAGGAACAAGUGGGAAGAUCCUCACUGAGGUAGAAAUGCAAGUUGGAGAGCUGUGGGGUUGGCAUCCCCUAUGACAUAGGAAUAAAGAAUUUCAGAGCACAGACAUCAAGCCAGAAUGGAUGGAGUGAUGAAAGCUGUGGGGUUGGUGGAACCUUAUGGGAAAGCACCUCAACAUUUAUGCUGUGCGUAUUGCCCUACUCAGGGAGGAACUGGUGACUGUUACUAUGAGCAGCCAGUACCUCUAAAGUAGAAUAAGCAUCAGCAAGUACACCAUCUGUGUACUUGGAGCUACAGGGUAUUUGAACUGCCGGCAUCUGGAGCUGCCUUCUUUGUACUCUUGAAGGUCUCAGCAGCACUCUGGACGUCUUACAUUAUCAGGAUGUUUCCGUGGUUUCUUCCUAAUAACCGUAAACACCUUCCAGUUACAGAGGGAAACAUAGAUUCGGGAUACUUUAAAAAGGUACUUGAGAACAGAGAUCAAAACAGGAGUUCAUUGUGGUAAAAAACAUUUUUAAAAUCCAUCCUUUUUAAAAAAAGAUAUCUAUUUGAAAAGUCAAGGUUUACCCACAUGCACACAGUGAGAGAGAGAGAAACACUUUCAUCUGCUAUUUUAUUCUCAAGAUUGUUGCAAUGACUGGGGCUAGGCCAGGCCAAAGCCUUGGGACCUGGAACUUGAUACAUUUCUCCCUCACGGGGGCAGGAGUCCAAGUACUUAGGCCUUUUUGCCUGAUUUCCCAUGUUGAUUAGCAAGGGUGUAGAUCAGAAGUACAGCAGAUGGCACUUGAACCAAUUGUCAGAUUGGAUGUUUGUGUUGCCAGUGGCAGCUUAACCUGCUAAUUCAUACUACUAACCCACAUACUUUUUUGAUGAUAUGCCUAUUCCAUGAGUUUGUUGUAUACCUAAUCACUUUGUAAUAGAAUAGAAAAGAGAAACAAAUUAAAUCUCCCUUGGUCCUGACAGCCAUCAAGCGACACAAAGAGCAGGUAGGUAGAACCUCACGGAAGUAAAAAUCAAGUUGGAGGGAUAUCGGAUGGGCAUGUCCUAUGAGGUAGGAAAAAGAAAAGUUAUUGUAUUAGUUAGAUACAUUUAGAGAGGAGAGGGAUACUGGGUACUUUACACUUGGCUGGAGGAAUGGAAUGUCAAAAGAAAUAUAUUGUGGUACCAAAAUGUUUGAUUUGCGUACAUUUCAUAAUCCACAUUUUUUUCUGAACUUUCGCAGUACUCUCCAACUUGCUAACAGAACAGAAAAGAGCAGCAAAGGAAAUGUUCCUUGAUCCUGACAAUCAUCAGGUUAAACAAAGUGCAGUUGAACAGAUUCUCACUUAGUUAAAAAUGCCUCUCUCUCUCUCUCGGUCUCUCCUUCUCUAUAACUUUUUUUAAAAAAAAAUUUAAAAACUAAAAUAGAAAUGCAUGUUGUAGGGUCACUGGAUUGGCACAGCAUAGGAGGUAGGAAUACAAAAUUUCAUGGAUCAGACAUCAGACUUCAAUGCAUGGAGUGAUGAAAGCUGUAGGUGUUGGGUGCUAACAGUGUAAUAUCUCCACGUUGCUACUGGGUGUAGUAUGCUACUUGGAGAGGAACUGAUGUAUCCCUCUGGGUAGGCUAAGGCUCACCAGGGACACCAACUGUCGUGAACUGAAGACUGAUGCUAGGCUAUGUGGCAGGUCCUUUGGAAUGCAGGCAUAUUGAGGUGCUUUCUUUGUACCAGUAAGUCCUUUACACUGCACCGUAACCUCAUAUGUUGUCAGGAUGAUUUCAGUGGUUUGUUCCCAGUAGCUUUGAAAACACACCAGGCUGAGAGAUAAGGUUGGGAGGAUAGGAAUACUGGGUACUUUGAAAAGCUACUGGAGGAAUGGAAUGAAAGAACAACUAUAUUAUGUUGCCAAAAUAUUUGAAAUGGAUACAUUUCAUGAGACACACUUUUUUCCUGAAGUCUUUACAGAAAUUUCCAACUUGCAGAUAGAGCAGAAAAGAGGAAUAGAAGAAAUCUCCAUUGGUCCUGACAACCAUGAAGGUGAAAAAGAGCAGUUGCGAAGAUUCUUCAGUUCGAAAUGAAGCCGGAUGGUCAUGGGAUUGGCAUCCCCUAUAAGAACCCUCCAAAUUUCCAACACAAUGGAAAGGCAGACAAAUAUAUUCACCUUGGUCUUCACAAUCAUCAGUUUAAACAAAGUGCAGAUAGAGCAGAAAAGAGGAAUAGAAGAAAUCUCCAUUGGUCCUGACAACCAUGAAGGUGAAAAAGAGCAGUUGCGAAGAUUCUUCAGUUCGAAAUGAAGCCGGAUGGUCAUGGGAUUGGCAUCCCCUAUAAGGUAGGCAUAAAGAUAAGGGUUCAGUUAUCAGUGUAUAAUGUAAGGAGUGAGGAAACUGUAGGGGAUGGUGGAGCCUGAUGGGCCAACAGCUUGACAUUCGUGAUGUGUGCAGUGCCCUACUCAGAGCGGGACUGGAAUGUGAACCUCUGAGCAUCCAGGACCUCUCUGGGUAGAGUAAGGCUCACCAAGUACAUCAUCACUGGUGACCUCUGCACUGGUGGUGGGAGUGGAACUGUUCACUUUAUUUAUUUAUUUAUUUUUGACAGGCAGAUUUAAACAGUGAGAGAGAGAGAGAGAGAGAGAAAAAAGUCUUCCUUUUCCGUUGGUUCACCCCCCAAAUGGCUGCCACAGUCGGAGCUACGCCGAUCCGAAGCCAGAAGCCAGGUGCUUCCUCCUGGUCUCCCAUGCAGGUGCAGGGCACAAGCACUUGGGCUGUCCUCCACUGCACUCCCGGGCCAUAGCAGAGAGCUGGACUGGAAGAGGGGCAGCCGGGACAGAAUCCAGCGCCCAAACUGGGACUAGAACCCCAGGCUGCCGGCGCUGCAGGUGGAGGAUUAGCCAAGUGAGCUGCAGCACCGGCCAGAACUGUUCACUUUAAAUUGCGUGAACCUUGAGUUGCCUUCACGGUCCACAAGGCCUUGGCAGCCAUCUACACCUCAGUAAUUUUCCAAAAGAUGUAAGUGGUUUGUUCUAAUACCUUUAUCUCAUACCAGCUGGAAGAAAAAGUUAGAAAAGAUACAGAUAUAAUGUAGUUUUAAAAGUUACUGGAGAGUUGGAAUUAAUACCCUUGAUCAUGUUGGUGUGAAUAAUUUUUGAAAUACAUACUUACUUUUCUAGAAGUAGCCUUCCCAUGAGCUUUUUUGCAGAACUUUCUAACUUGCUGAUAGAAUAGGAAAGAGGAACAAAGGAAAUCUGCAUUGCCCCUGACAAAUAUCAAGGUAAACAAAGAGCAAGUCAGAAGAUUCUCCUUGAAUUACAAAUGCCAAUUGAGAGGCUACAUAAUGGACAUAAACUAUGAGGUAGGAAUUAAAAAACAUACCAUUCCAUUUAGAGAGAGAAAAUUAGAGAAGAUAAGGAUAUUGAGUGUCUUAAACAGUUACUAGAGGAAGGGAAUGAAAACACAAAAAUACUAUGGUGUAGUAUUUUUGAAAUGCAUAAUUUUUUUUUUGUACAGACAGAGUUAGAGAGAGAGAGAGAGACAGACAGAAAGGUCUUCCUUUUCUGUUGGUUCACCCCCCAAAUGGCCACUACGGAUGGCGCGCUGCGCCGAUCCGAAGCCAGGAGCCAGGUGCUUCUUCCUGGUCUCCCAUGCGGGUGCAGGGCCCAAGCACUCGGGCCAUCCUCCACUCCCAGGCCACAGCAGAGAGCUGGACUGGAAGAGGAGCAACUGGGACAGAAUCCGGUGCCCCAUUCGGGACUAGAACCCGGUGUGCCAGUGCUGCAGGUGGAGGAUUAGCCAAGUGAGCUGCGGUGCCAGCGAAAUGCAUAAAUUUUUGAAAUGCAUACAUUUCAAUAUACGCUUUUUUUAAGCUUUUCACUGAAUUUUCCAAGUUUCUAAAAAACUGUAGAAGAGGAACCAAGAAAAUCUCUAUUGAUCCUCGCAAUCAUCACCUUAAAGAAAGUGUAUGUGAGCAGAACUCACAUAGUUUUUAGAAAUGCCCCCUUGGAAGGCCAUCGGAUUGGUAUGACAUAGGAGGAAGGAGUAGAGAAGUUCAAGAUUGAGCCAUCAGGCUAUAAUAUGUGAGGUGAUGAAAGCUAUAGUGGAUGGUAGCACCUCAUGAGACAGCAAUUCCACAUUCAUGCUGUAUGUCAUGGCCUACUGAGAGAGGCACUGGUGGUUGUCAUGAGUAUCCAGGACCUCGCUGAGUAGAGUUAAGUCUCAUCAAGGUCCCUAAGUGUUGUGACUUCUAGACGGGUACUAGAAUGGCUGCCCCUUUGGAAUGACAGAGUCUUUAGUUGCCCUUUUUGUACUCAGGUUUUGUGGCUCACCUGACUUCAUGUAUCUUCAGGAUGAUUUCGGUGGUUUGCUCCUAAUAGCUUGGACACAUAACCAAUUACAGUGAUAAAGUUAGAAAAGAUAGGAAUAGUGGUUCCAUUAAAUGUUACUGGAGGACUUGCUUAUUUCACUGAGCAAAAUGGUAAAUAAGCCAGUUACAAAAAGACAAAUAAAACGUGUUUCCCCUGACUUGUUGUAAUUAAUAUACAGAGAACAAAAAAUGUAGUGUAUAUGCAUUAAAUUGACAUUUUGAGAUGUGAUUAUUGUUUACAGCCCAUGUCUGUACUCUUGAAGAACAGUGCUUUUUCUACUUACUGCUUAUUGAAUUCUUUCUUUAGUGUGGGAUUAAGCUUGUGAUUAUAAAAUAAACUGAAAGUAUGUCAUUGUAAAAACUUUAAAAAAAAAUAAGAAAGGAAGGAGGAUGGAGGGUGGGAAUGUGGGUGAGAGGUUAGUGUAGGCUGGGAAGUAUCAUUAUGCUCUUAAAUCUGUAUAUAUUAAAUUUCAUAUUUUAUAAAUUUAAUUUUUAAAAAAGUUACUGGAGAAAUCUAAUGAAAGCACAACUAUAUUGUGGUGAAAAAUACUAGAAAAUCAUACAUUUCAUGGUACCAUUGCUUUUUGAGCUUUUUGCAGUACUCUCCAACUUGCUGAUAGAACAGAAAAAAAGGAUUAAGGGAAAUCUCCACUGAUCCUGAUAAGGAUGAAAGUAAAGAAAGAGCAGGUAGGAAGAUUCUCCCUGAAGUUGAAAUGCAAGUUGAAUGGUUAUGGGAUUGGCAUACCCUAUGAGGUAGGUGUAAAGAGGGUUGGGGUUCAUUAAUCCGUGUGUAAUACAAGGAAUGAUGAAAGCCAUGGGGAUGGAGGAGGCUGGUGGAACAGCACCUCCACAUUCAUGCUGUUUGCAGUGCCCUAAUUAGAGAGGUACUGGUUUGUGACUCUGAGCAUCCAGAACUUCUGUGGGUAGAGUAAGGCUCACAAAGCAUACCAAUUCUCAUGAAUUUUAACUGAUGCUGUACUAGUGCUGAAGGCCCUUUUGAAUAGCAGCAUCUUGAGCUCCCUUCAUUGUACCCAAGAAGGCCUUUGUGGCCACCAUGACCUCACAUAUUGUCAGGAUGAUGUCAGUGGUUUGUUUCUAAUGUCCUUGAUUGCGUAUCAGUUAGAGAGAGAGUUAGAGAGGACAGGGAUACUGGGAUCUUUACAGUUACUGCAACAAUGGAAUGAAAACACAAGUAUAUUAUAGGGCAAAAGUUAUGAAAUCUAUACAUUUCAUGAUGCACAUUUUCUGUCUGAACUUUUGGCAUACAUUUCCAACUUGCUGUCUAUAUAGAAAAGAGGAACAAAAGAAUCUCUAUUGGUCCUGAUAAUCAUUAAGGUAAAGGAAGAAAGCUGCAAAGAGUCUCACUAAAGUAGGAUUAGCUUGUGUAUCUAUCCCUAAGGUAGAAAUGCAAAUUGGGAUGUCAUGGAAUUGGCAUCCCCUCUGAGGUAGGCAUAAAGAAAUUCAGAAUUCAGUUACAUCAAGCUAAGAAGCUUCCACACAACUCUCAACAAAGAGGCAGCCAACAGAAUGGGAGAAAAUAUUUGCAAGCUAUACACCUGAUAAAGGAUUCAUAUCCAGGAUACAUAAGGAGCACGAGAAGCUCAACAUCAGCAAAACAAAUAAUCUAGUUAAGAAAUGAGCUAAGGAUAUAAAUAAGCAUUUUUCAAUGGAUGAAGUGCAAAUGACCAACAGACACAUGGAAAGAUGCUCAGGAUCACUAACCAUCAGAGAAAUGGAAAUGAAUCACGAUGAGGUUUCACUUCACACCAGUUAGAAUGGCUGUCAUCCAAAAAUCAAAAAUAAAAAAUUCUGAACAGGAUGUGGGGAAAAAGUUACCUUAACUCACUGUUUAUAGGAAUGUAAAAUGGUAGAACACCUUGGAUAUACAAAAAGAAGGAACCUCUAAACCUUAAAACAGGCAGUGAAAUAAUGGCUGUAAAUUUCCUCUGAUCAUAAGAACUUUUCACAGUGUUAUAGUUUGUUAAUUAGGAAAUAACAUCUAAGUAAGAAAUUGCUGUCAUUAAUGUUUGUGCUUAAAAUCUGUGGAUAUAGAUAUUAACAUUUUAGCAUGUAUGUAUGUGUAUGAAUUGUAUCAAUUUUAGGUAGCAAAAGUAUUUGAAAAAGGAUGCUUCAUUCAGGUUUCAUAACAUUUCUGUUGCCUCACCCCAGUUAGAAUGGCUAUCAUCCAAAAAAAAUGCUAGCAAAAAUGUGGAAAAAAGGCACCUUAUUACGCUGUUUGGUAGGAAUGUAAUCUAGUACAAUCAUCAUGGAAGACAGUAUGAAGAUUCCUUAGAAAUCUGGAAAUUGAUCUGGAAUAAGACCCAGCCAUUCCAUUCCUGAGAAAUUACACAAAGGAAAUGAAAUCAGCUUCUGAAAGAGUUAUCUGAACUCCCAUGUUUAUAGCAUCUCAACUCAUAUUAGCUAAGAUAUAGAAUCAACCCAGAUGUCUAUCAACUGAUGACUAGAUAAAGAAAUUGUGGUGUAUAUACAUGAUGGAAUGCUACUCAACCAUAAAAUAGAACAAAAUCCUGUCUUUCACAAGCAAAUGUAACUGGAUACCAUUAUGCUUAGUGAAAUAAGCCAGUCCUCAAAACACAAAUAUGUUUUUCUGAUUUGUGGUAACUAAUAUACAGAGUACAAAAGCGUAAUAUGUAUGAGUGAAAUAGAUAUUAUAAGAUUUGAUUAUUUUAUAGCCCCUUCUAUA